AACACUCUAGUUUAUAUAAAAUUGUAUAGUUUGCGUCUAUGAGAAGGGUAAUUAGCACCCGUGUGUUA
rnacentral:tRNA from 1 species